rnacentral:rRNA from 1 species
AACGAACGCUGGCGGCAAGCUUAACACAUGCAAGUCGAACGCCUACCUUCGGGUAGGAGUGGCAAACGGGUGCGUAAUGUAUGGGAACUUACCUUUGCGUGUGGAAUAACACAUGGAAACGUGUGUCAACACCGCAUAAUCCCUAACAGGGAAAGAUUUAUCGCUCAAAGAGAGGCUCAUAUUGGAUUAGCUCGUUGGUGAGGUAAUGGCUCACCAAGGCAACGAUCUAUAGCUGGUCUGAGAGGAUGAUCAGCCACACUGGGACUGAGACAAGGCCCAGACUCCUACGGGAGGCAGCAGUGGGGAAUUUUGGACAAUGGGCGCAAGCCUGAUCCAGCUAUGCCGCGUGAGUGAUGAAGGCCUUAGGGUUGUAAAGCUCUUUUGGCAGGGACGAUAAUGACGGUACCUGCAGAAUAAGCACCGGCUAACUUCGUGCCAGCAGCCGCGGUAAAAC